UACGUAGGGGGCAAGCGUUGUCCGGAAUUAUUGGGCGUAAAGAGCGUGUAGGCGGUCCGGUAAGUCGGCUGUGAAAGUCCAGGGCUCAACCCUGGGAUGCCGGUCGAUACUGCCGGACUAGUGUUCGGAAGAGGCGAGUGGAAUUCCCGGUGUAGCGGUGAAAUGCGCAGAUAUCGGGAGGAACACCUAUGGCGAAGGCAGCUCGCUGGGACGUUACUGACGCUGAGACGCGAAAGCGUGGGGAGCAAACAGG
rnacentral:rRNA from 1 species